CAGCAAAUGUUUGUUGAUGUUAACACAAAUUUUGACGGAAAAGUAACAAUCUAUGAAUUUAUGUCUGAAAUGACCAAAAGAGACCCAAGAACAAUAAGGCAAGUAUCCUUUUAAUUUUAGUUUCUUGUGUAUAAUUUCGGAGUUUAGUAUGACGUCCACUAUCACUGAACUAGUAUAUAUAUUUGUUUAGGGGCCAGCUGAAGGACUUCUCCAAAUGCGGGAGUUUCUCUCGCUGCAUUGAAGACCCAUUGGUGACCAUCGGCUGUUGUUUGCUCUCUGGUUGGGUUGUUGUCUCUUUGACACAUUCCCCAUUUCCAAUCUCAAUUUUAUUUCGACUUUCAUUUAUAUAUAUAUUAAGAUUUUUUUUUAUUUUAAGAAUUGAAUUCUUCUUUUUGAAACUUCAUUGGGGUGUAAAAGCGUUGACCGAAGUACAUUUUCUAUGAAGCGCGGAAGCGCUUCAUUCUAAAAAUGUGCGCACAGUCAACGCUUUACACCCUAUGAAGUUACAAAAAGAAGCAUUCAAUACUUAUAAUUACAUUUUUUAGCUAUGAUCAUGAAAACACGAUUUUUAUAAUUGUUUUGUUUAAUUCACCCGUGCACUUUAUUGUGGGACCACGUGUUAUCAUGAAUGAAAAGUUUUACUGACUAAAUGCAAUUGCUUAAGGGAGAACAUGUGAUGUGCAGUUGAAACAGAAUAAAGUGUCAUAAUGAAACAUACAUCUAAUGUUAUUAGGCCACCCUUAAAAAAUUGUUUGUUUGGCAUUGCCGACUCACACCAGCAGCAGGUGGGUAGGUAGGUAGGGAUUUUUUUUUUUUUUUUUUUUACAUUUAACAACUUUAUAUAUCACAACCAUGAUGACUCUAGAUCACAGCCAAAAGCAGUGCAGCAUUGUUGUGUGUACAAACUUAUAGUUUCUUUGAUAGGGGUUAAUGUCACAUUCUACAACACAUGGAUAAUUCCAUGUCAAACAUUCAGUUUUUUUGGAGGAGUAAACCAAAGUACCCAGCAGAAACAUAUCUGUGGUAAGGAACUGACAUUAACCAUGUAACAUGUUAGACAUGAAAAUUGAAUCUUAAUUUGACUGUCCAUUGAAUAGAGGCUUAAUGUCACAUCUUGAAAUUGCCUUCAGUUUGGUAAACUUAUCAUAUUUAAAUCAGUUCGACCACUACAGUUCCUUGUACAAAUAGAUGAUUUAAAGCUUUGAUUGUUUGCUUGUUUGAUGGGAUUUAAAAGUAACUUUCUACACCAUAUGGGGCAGUUCAUUAGCAUCAGUUUUAUUGGUGGACGAAAGCGUAGUGCACAGAGGAACCUUAUUAUAAAUGUCAUGACAAUCUAACCUUAAUUUUGUGAAUGCAUACAUGUACAUUUUUUUGUACUUAUCCCUAGAGGUGAUAAGACUAGCAUUAAUACAUGCAAAUUUUGCGGAACUACCAAAUGGUCAAAGCCACUACAGCCCCUGAUCAGCUUUGAGAAUAGCAAAAUAUUACAAAUUUAGAAGGUUGGCACAAGAACAGUCAUGAAUGCCUCACCCUGGCAGGGUGUUUAUACUGCAUUUGUAAUAACCGCAAGAAAAGUAUGAUAAUUUCAAAAUAUAAAUGUGCUGUAGGACAGACAAUUUUUACAGAUAAUUUAAAAUAAAUUUUAAGGUUGUUAUGAUUGUUUGAUUGACAGGGUUCUGGACAUGCAUGACAUAAAUACAGUUAAAUUCAUGAGCCCUUGGUUUGCUUAAAACAAUGGAACACUACCAGUAGAUAUAUUUAUAAAAUAUGUUGCCGUCGGAUAUCUUUUCUGUUUUAAGAAUUAUCUUAUUCAUAUUAAGAAGAAAGAGAGGGUUUGGGUUCAUAAAUUCUUGACACACAAAAGAGGCUAGUCUUUGAAAUAUGUAUGCUUUGUACCAGGCUAACCUCUACUGGUACAAAACUACUAUAAACCUGUAAAUCUGGGACCAUAUUGGUCUUUUAGCUUUGGUGCUUUCAUGCAGGUACACCUUUCAGCCAUCAAGCCAAUGCAUCAUCAUCUUGAAUAGAUAUAAGAAGAUGUGGUAUGAGUGUCAACGAGGCAACUCUCCAUCCAAGUCACAACUUGUAAAAGUAAACAAUUAUAGGUCAAAGAAUACAUUGUUUUUGAAUUUACAUGGCAACAUGCUUUGUUAUCUGCAUGUUCAAGGAAAAUUUGUCAAAGAUAGAUUUCACAUCUUUAAGAGAUCUUUCAGAGGUUAAAGCCACAGAUGUUUGUUCUGUCAUGUCUGGGUGAAAAGCUUCUAUCUCAUGAUGUGAGGAUGCAAAGCAGACAUCAACAAAUAAUUUUACAGUGUCACUGUCUGCUUUACCAAAGACGACAUUUGAGUUCUCUACAAGGCCUUUCAGAACAUCAACCCAUGUUCCAUCUAAAGAAUAGGUGAACAUCUUAUUUUUAAUAAAAUGUUCCUCUCCCUUGACUAGAGCAUAAGUGGAUGCUAUCCACUGCCUGUCUUUUUGACAUUUUUGGCAGACUUUUAUCGAAUCUAUGUUAUUCAAACGCUUGCUCUGAAGAAUACAGUGUACAACAAGCACUUUAAAGAUCAUGAUUUGAAAUAAGUAAAGCCCGGAAACAAACUCCGCGGAUAUGAUAAAAAUUCCGGCGGUUUUCCGAUUUUUUUAAUACAAAAAAAAAUACAAAUUUUGAAAACACCAAUAAAAUUAUUCGGGCGGCAAGUUUUUCAGUGGGUCGGGCGGCAAUGCCAAACAAAUGAAAUUUUAUUUUAGGCCUUAUUAGCAUCUAAACGUGCACGUUACUGCUUGACGGCAUUCAUAAUUUUGACAUUGACGAAUUUUUAUAAAUAAUAUACUCGUAGAACAUAUCACAUAUAGAUAUGAGUCACUAAAAUACAAAAGCAAAUCUUCAAAAUAUAAAUGUUUUACUUAUUAUUUAUGAAUAAAAAGGUAAAGUUUUUUUUAUCAAAUUUUUUGCCUUAAGCAUCACUUUUGACAUCAACUAUGGUUACAUAAAAUGUAUACAACACAACGUCCAUGUAUGAAACACCGACAGAAACUAUCUUUUAUUUAAAACCGUAUGUCGUUUCUGGAUUGUUGUACAUUUGGACUGUCUCGUUUAAACAUGACCAAAACCCUAUCUUAUUUAGAUCUGCAUUUCUCUUUUCAGUGAUGCAGAACUUUUGGAAAUGUUCCGGAAGUUUGACGCCAAUAAAGAUGGAUACAUAACAAAGGACGAGCUCGAAAAAACACUGGACGGAAGUAAGAUUCGAUGGACAGAUUUUUUAUUGAAAGAUAUUAUAAAAAAGACAGAUUUUGAUGGUGAUGGCAAAAUAUCAUGGGAUGAAUUUAGAAAAUCUUGUCAGUAUAAACAGAUCAUAGUGUGAACAGGACGGAAUUUUAAUUGAUGUAAUCUAAAGGAAUCAAAAUAAUACAUUGUACAGAAUAAAGUAUAUAUAAUGUAUACACGAAAGGUACUCACCAACGUUCCUUAAAGUCGUUAUAUAAUGUAUUUAUCAGGACGAUUUAGGACAAUUCAAUAAUGGAAGUUUGCAUCUUUCAUGAAUGUUAUCCUUAAUAAAAAAGUAUUCAUGCUUUUUUUCCUAAAUUUUUUUUUCUGUCUCAUUAGGACAUGAAU
rnacentral:lncRNA from 1 species